GUUUUGUUUGGCGUGUGUGGUUCUAAAAAUAAAGUUAGUUUCUUUUGACAAGUGGCUCCUGAUUGUGCCCAGCCAGACUGUGGCAUUAUUUUAUGUAUUAAGCAAGUUUGUGGUUCCCUUAAGUUCUUGGUGCUGUGAUAUUCAAUAUUAUUUAGGCAUUGAGUGACUAGGUAUUUAUUCCAGUCUUUCUAAUCUGGCUUUUUUUUGUACCUAUCCCAGAAAUUCAGGUAGGUUGUUUAUGCACUCUUAUCCUAUGGAAUUUUUUGCUAUUUAAAAAGUAGAUGGCUCCCUAAGUCCAUAUUUGCCACAAGUGUGUCGCUAAGUGUUUUUUUGUUUGUUUGUUUGUUUGUUUUUUUUGCACUAAAGCAUGCCCCUAGCCUAAGUUCGUCCCAAAUUUGUAACUGAUAUGUUUUUCAGAAUACACUGUAUCUACAAAAGAGUAAUUUUUCCCCAAAAGCUUAUCCUCAAUGUCAGGUUAGGCCCAGACACCUCAUUCAGAGUUAGCAGCCCAUGGUCAGGUACCAGAGAUUCUGUUUAUCUCUGGGCCUCACUAUGGUUGGAGUGGCCCCAAGCUCUUGGUCAACAACUUAUCAUGUCCCUACUUUUCCUUAUCUCAAGCAGACAAUUAUUCUUUCCAUCUUGUGCUGCCUUAGGUUGGAUGCGAAGUCUCCUGGCCUUCAUUGUUGCAAUCCUGAGUCACACUUGGAAGCCAUAACUUGAGAAGGCCUGUUCAGUGCAGUACUAGAAAAGGACCAAGACCCAAGCAUGUAUAAUGUACAUGAGCCUAAGGUAAACUCACAGCAUGAGAUUGUUGUAAAUAGGCACAAGUGAUACUGGCUAAAAUAAAAACACAAUUGUUUGGUAUGUGCAGGCAGAUAUG
rnacentral:lncRNA from 1 species